UACGGGGGGGGCAAGCGUUGUUCGGAAUUACUGGGCGUAAAGGGCUCGUAGGCGGCCAACUAAGUCAGACGUGAAAUCCCUCGGCUUAACCGGGGAACUGCAUCUGAUACUGGAUGGCUUGAGUUCGGGAGAGGGAUGUGGAAUUCCAGGUGUAGCGGUGAAAUGCGUAGAUAUCUGGAGGAACAUCGGUGGCGAAGGCGGCAUCCUGGACCGGUAUUGACGCUGAGGCGCGAAAGCCAGGGGAGCAAACGGG
rnacentral:rRNA from 1 species